rnacentral:rRNA from 1 species
AUGUGCCUACGGGAGGCAGCAGUGAGGAAUACUGGUCAAUGGCCGCAGGGCUGAACCAGCCAAGUCGCGUGAAGGAUGACGGCCCUACGGGUUGUAAACUUCUUUUGUCAGGGAGCAGUUGGGUCCACGCGUGGGCUUAGCGAGAGUACCUGAAGAAAAAGCAUCGGCUAACUCCGUGCCAGCAGCCGCGGUAAUACGGAGGAUGCGAGCGUUAUCCGGAUUUAUUGGGU